AAAAUUAAUAUUAUUAAGACAGUAAAAAGAAAACAUCACACAUGUUAUUAACACUCCAGACAAUUUUUAGUACACACCAAACACAAAUACAUUAAUAUAGACAAUAUACAAAUGCAAUUAAAUACAAAUUAAUAUACAAAUGCAGACCGCAAAGGAUUAAUUUCAUAAUUGCAAAGAAUGCAAUAUUCCAUUUAUAAACAGUUAUUAUACACACCUAUACUCCUGUUAUUCGUAAACAAUUCCAAAUCCCGUUAUGAUGAUAUAAAUCCCUUAUUUUACGCUACAACAGUACAAAAGAAACACAGACACAUCUAAACAACAACAGUCCGAAUUUACUAUUCCAUUCAUUCGCGACCGUUAAAUUAAAAUGUAUACACUUUCACUGACACUCGAAUAAAAUAGUUACAGAGUUAGAAAUAUCGAUGUUGAACUUGUUCUUGUUCGUACACAAUCGAAGGGGAGAACCGUUGGUAGAUUUACGUGGACGCAGAGACGUUUAUUGGCUACAGAUCCUGCAACGCUGAGAUAAAUUCCCUAUUUAGUGUUGUAGUCGAAACACGGAAGAAAAGAAAUGUAUCUAAACAGCAAAAACUGAAUUUCGAACAUUCCACAACACAAGACAUUGCAUAAAUAUAACAAAUUCUCAUAUUUUUUUAUGUUCUUAGCAUUUUGAAAUUAUGGCCAAUAUUCCUGAAAUGUGUAAACGUUAAAUUGUGUACAAUUGACGUAUUAACGUAAAUAUCAAAAUUCAGAAUGAAACCUGAACUUAAUAUACCAACCUUAUAUAUUAUCUCCAUUUUGGUGUCAAUCGAGUUUCAUAAGUAAACAAAUUCAUUAUAUCUCCAUUUGCUUCAUUUUACAUUCGCAAGAUUCGUUUAUAAAGGUUAGAAAAUGAAAUGCAUCGCGGAAAAGAACUUCCAGAGAGAGAAAAACCACGAUGAUUUUCGCAUUGUUACGGUUAUAUCGCGAAACAAAUAGGUCGUUAAAAACGUACAAUUGCCAAUUAUGUUAGUAAAAGAUGUAAUCACGAGAAGAAGCGUUCAGGCUACCCUCCGAAAGUGUCCCCUCGAAAUAAACGUAAAAUUCUACGAUUAUAACUCGGCAAUGUAAAUUGGUUCAAGUGCGAGAUUAUUGCAAAUUAAAUGUUGCGAAAACCAUCCGUGGAAUUAUUGUUGGGUUUCGAAAUGAAUUCCAUGACUUUCCUUUAAUUUAACAAUUUAUUAGCUACUUAUACACGUCUUUAUUCUUCGGGUUUCAAAUAUAUUCUAUUCGCCACGUGUCAACCGUCGCGGAUCGGCAAUCUUGCGCCGAAAAUUGUCGAAGAUUGCCGAAUCGUUCCGAUUGCCUCCGAACAUCCUAGCGGAGAUAUGCAGUCUUUCUCUAAUGUUUCUUUUCAACAAUUAUUAUAACAUCUCUGCACACUGUUAACGCGAAAAUGAUAUCGACAUAUAAAACAAAGAUAAAUCAACGAAACUUUCAUUCUCUGAAGUAAACACGAGUACGGAUUGGAAAAAUGUUAUAUUUAGUGUGGAGGAAAAAUUCAAUCUAGGUAGGCCAGAUGUUUUAAUUCGUAUUGACACGAUAUACAAGAAGAUGUGAAAUAUUUUUCGUAACACAACUUUAGCUCGGUUACGAUUUAUUUCCCGGCGCUCAUGCGUCGUAAAUUGUCGACAAUUACCGAAUUGUUCCGAUUGUCUCGAGAGACGUCCUAUGGCAAAUACGGUUAUCCUUUUUUCAGCAUUCCUUUUUAACAAUUAUUGUAACAUCUUUGCACACUGUUAAGAUGAAAAUAUCGUCGACAGAUUCGAUAAACAAUGAUAAAUCUGCGAGACUUCUAUUUGCUGAAGCCAAUACGCCUACGGAUUGAAAAAAUGUUAGAUUUAGUGUCGAGAAACAAUUCAAUCUACGUGAACCAGAUGUUUUAAUUCGUAUUGACACGCUAGAUGAUGAACACGAUGUCGAACACGAGAAGAUGUGAAAUAUUUUUCGUAACACAACUCUGUUAUGAUUUAUUUCGGUUCUUGGAAAAAAUUUCAUAUCAUUUAUUUUCCGCAACAUGAACAAUAAUAAUGAUACGCUAGAAAAUUAUUUAAAGCCCUAUUGUAGAGAAUACCACAGUGAAAAUUCAAUUUUCAUGCAGGAUAAUGCAUCGGGUCAUUUUGCACGUUCAUUAAGGGAGUUUGCCGAAAAUAACAUUCCGUUAUUAGAUUGACCUGCACGUUCCUGUAGCGUUAUCCUAUUAAAACUUCACGGGAAUAUCGAUAUAAUUUUUUAAAAUAAUCGUACAUAUUCUAAUGUGGAUAAAUUAAAAUUUGUUACAGUUGACACAUGGAAUAAUGAAGAAGAAAAUAUAGUAAAAAAUGUUACUGGUAAUAUGCCAAAUUUUCGUCACGUGACGAUGAGAACAUGGAAAAUAAUAGGAAGUUUACAGGAGAGAACCUAUUUCACAAUUACGUGGACGCAUAGACUGGUUCAGAUUCUAUAGACAGUACCGUUGGGAGAUUACGUGGACGCUGAGACGCAGCAACAUUUACUGGCUUCUGCGUGUUCGAGUGCCCUUCUGCGCGUACUUUUUUCGUUCAGCAGCGAAGAAAGUGCUAUUUCUGCUGGCGGGGAAAACCACUUCCCCGGGAGAUAUGCAAGGGAAUGGUAAUGGAAGCUGAAAGAAGUCGCGCGAGAGCUGACGUUACAAGAAAUUGCGUGCUUGUGUAGCUAAGCUUCCUCCGGAAAUAGGAGAAAUAACUGGAUGCUGAGAUUACGGGUAAAUUUUCGCUGCGCGGAAUUUCCUUUCGAAUCGAGCUACUUAUUCGCUUCGAAUAAUAAUAUUGGGUUAAACGUUCUCGGAAGUCAAUACAUUCAGUGACAAAAGUAUAGAACACGGUACAAAAUCAUACAAAUCUGUGUUAAUUUUUAAACUUAAGCUUUUCUUGUGUUGUGCUGUUUUUCUUUGGUGUGUCAUUAAGUUAGUGAACUCAAUAAGUGUUAUAUGAAUAAUUGUUUUUUACUAUUUCAAAAUAAAGAAUACCUUCAUUUAGAAAAAGUAAUAAUGAUUACAUUUAUAAAAAUAAUAAAAAAGAUAACAUUUAUUACAAUGAUAUAAUAAUGACAAUUAUAAAAAUAAUAAUUUAGGGAAACAUACACUAUUUUCUGAAAGUAUUAAAAACAAUUUAACAGUGAAAUUGUUGUAUGUAACUGUGUGAAUGCAUUUCUUGUAUUGAAUAUAAAUAUUUGUCGUUGAAUGUAAAUGUGUGGUUAAAAGGAAACAAAAGGCGUUUCUUGAAAACAAGAUGGCGCGAGUCUGCAAAUCAACAUGGCGUCGGUUCAUUCAUAAAACUGUGGCUCACAAUUACUUUUUGAAGAAAUGAGGCAAAUCUGAGUAACUUAAAAUGAAAAACUAUAAAUUUAACCCUAUAAUCUGUGAUAAAAUUAUAAGAUAUUGUGAAAGUGUUUAUUUUUGUAAAAAAUGAAGGUAAAAAUGGUAUUUGAAUUACUUGUUAGUAAUGUGGCGCCAUUGUUAAUGUUAUAUAACUUGUGACAUUUUAUAACGUUUUGGAAGAGAUUUGAAUGACUUUUCUUGCUUUCUAUUCUU